UCUUCCACAAUGGACGAAAGUCUGAUGGGGCAAUGCCGCGUGAGUGAAGAAGGGUUUCGGCUCGUAAAACUCUGUUGUUAAAGAAGAACACCUUUGAGAGUAACUGUUCAAGGGUUGACGGUAUUUAACCAGAAAGCCACGGCUAACUACGUGCCAGCAGCCGCGGUAAUACGUAGGUGGCAAGCGUUGUCCGGAUUUAUUGGGUGUAAAGCGAGCGCAGGCGGUUUUUUAAGUCUGAUGUGAAAGCCUUCGGCUUAACCGGAGAAGUGCAUCGGAAACUGGGAGACUUGAGUGCAGAAGAGGACAGUGGAACUCCAUGUGUAGCGGUGGAAUGCGUAGAUAUAUGGAAGAACACCAGUGGCGAAGGCGGCUGUCUAGUCUGUAACUGACGCUGAGGCUCGAAAGCAUGGGUAGCGAACAG
rnacentral:rRNA from 1 species